ACCCGCUGAACUUAAGCAUAUCAAUAAGCGGAGGAAAAGAAACCAACAGGGAUUGCCCUAGUAACGGCGAGUGAAGCGGCAAUAGCUCAAAUUUGAAAGCUGGCCUCUGGUCCGCAUUGUAAUUUGUAGAGGAUGCUUUUAGGCAGCCGCCGGUCUAAGUUCCUUGGAACAGGACGUCAUAGAGGGUGAGAAUCCCGUAUGUGACCGGCUCAGGCACCUUCUGUAAAGCUCCUUCGACGAGUCGAGUUGUUUGGGAAUGCAGCUCUAAAUGGGAGGUAAAUUUCUUCUAAAGCUAAAUACUGGCGAGAGACCGAUAGCGCACAAGUAGAGUGAUCGAAAGAUGAAAAGCACUUUGGAAAGAGAGUUAAAAAGCACGUGAAAUUGUUGAAAGGGAAGCGCUUGCAAUCAGACUUGGCCUCGGAUGUUCAACCGGUCUUCUGACCGGCCUAUUCAUUCGGGGCCAGGCCAGCAUCAGUUUCGGCGGCCGGAUAAAGGCCUUGGGAAUGUGGCUUUCCCUUCGGGGGAAGUGUUAUAGCCCAGGGUGUAAUACGGCCAGCUGGGACUGAGGUCCGCGCUUCGGCUAGGAUGCUGGCGUAAUGGUUGUAAGCGGCCCGUCUUGAAACACGG
rnacentral:rRNA from 1 species